AGAGAUUGGAGUGCAGCCAAGGAUGACUUGCCGGCAUUUGCUUGCUUUAAUCAAUUAUAUUGAGUUGCCCUUACUCAAAUAAUUGAUUAAUGAUACAUAUAUAUGUGUAUAUAUAUAUAUAUCAGGUAAAAGUUGGCAAGUUGUCCUUGGCUACAUUUGCCUCUCU
rfam:Punica granatum cultivar Dabenzi scaffold34, whole genome shotgun sequence.